GACGAACCGUGCGAACGUUGUUCGGAAUCACUGGGCAUAAAGGGCGCGUAGGCGGCUUAUCAAGUCAGGGGUGAAAUCCGGCAGCUCAACUGUCGAAGUGCCUUUGAUACUGAUGAGCUAGAGGGAGAUAGGGGUAUGCGGAACUUCCGGUGGAGCGGUGAAAUGCGUUGAUAUCGGAAGGAACGCCGGUGGCGAAAGCGGCGUACUGGAUCUCUUCUGACGCUGAGGCGCGAAAGCUAGGGGAGCGAAUGGG
rnacentral:rRNA from 1 species